CCUACGGGAGGCAGCAGUGGGGAAUAUUGGGCAAUGGGCGCAAGCCUGACCCAGCAACGACGCGUGAAGGAAGAAGGCUCUCGGGUUGUAAACUUCUUUUAUCAGGGACGAAGCAAGUGACGGUACCUGAUGAAUAAGCCACGGCUAACUACGUGCCAGCAGCCGCGGUAUUCGUAGGUGGGAAGUGUUUUUCGGAUUUACUGGGUGUAAAGGGCGUGUUGGGGGGAAAGGAAGUCAGAUGUGAAAACCAUGGGCUCAACCUGUGGCCUGCAUUUGAAACUGUUUUUCUUGAGUACUGGAGAGGCAGACGGAAUUCCUAGUGUAGCGGUGAAAUGCGUAGAUAUUAGGAGGAACACCAGUGGCGAAGGCGGUCUGCUGGACAGCAACUGACGCUGAGGCGCGAAAGCGUGGGGAGCAAACAGGAUUAGAUACCCGAGUAGUC
rnacentral:rRNA from 1 species